rnacentral:rRNA from 1 species
UGGGGAAUCUUGGACAAUGGGGGCAACCCUGAUCCAGCGACGCCGCGUGGGUGAUGAAGGCCUUCGGGUUGUAAAGCCCUUUUACCCGGGAAGAUGAUGACGGUACCGGGUGAAUAAGCACCGGCUAACUCCGUGCCAGCAGCCGCGGUAAGACGGAGGGUGCUAGCGUUGUUCGGAUUUACUGGGCGUAAAGGGCGCGUAGGCGGCCGAUCAAGUUGGGUGUGAAAGCCCGGGGCUCAACCUCGGAACUGCACUCAAAACUGGUAGGCUCGAGGGCGAGAGAGGAAAGUGGAAUACCCAGUGUAGAGGUGAAAUUCGUAGAUAUUGGGUGGAACACCGGUGGCGAAAGCGGCUUUCUGGCUCGUUUCUGACGCUGAGGCGCGAAAGCGUGGGGAGCAAACAGGAUUAGAUACCCCUGUAGUCC